rnacentral:rRNA from 1 species
GGGUUGUGAGGUUAAGCGACUAAGCGUACACGGUGGAUGCCCUGGCAGUCAGAGGCGAUGAAGGACGUGCUAAUCUGCGAUAAGCGUCGGUAAGGUGAUAUGAACCGUUAUAACCGGCGAUUUCCGAAUGGGGAAACCCAGUGUGUUUCGACACACUAUCAUUAACUGAAUCCAUAGGUUAAUGAGGCGAACCGGGGGAACUGAAACAUCUAAGUACCCCGAGGAAAAGAAAUCAACCGAGAUUCCCCCAGUAGCGGCGAGCGAACGGGGAGGAGCCCAGAGCCUGAAUCAGUGUGUGUGUUAGUGGAAGCGUCUGGAAAGGCGCGCGAUACAGGGUGACAGCCCCGUACACAAAAAUGCACAUGCUGUGAGCUCGAUGAGUAGGGCGGGACACGUGGUAUCCUGUCUGAAUAUGGGGGGACCAUCCUCCAAGGCUAAAUACUCCUGACUGACCGAUAGUGAACCAGUACCGUGAGGGAAAGGCGAAAAGAACCCCGGCGAGGGGAGUGAAAAAGAACCUGAAACCGUGUACGUACAAGCAGUGGGAGCCUCUUAAUGGGGUGACUGCGUACCUUUUGUAUAAUGGGUCAGCGACUUAUAUUCUGUAGCAAGGUUAACCGAAUAGGGGAGCCGAAGGGAAACCGAGUCUUAACUGGGCGUUAAGUUGCAGGGUAUAGACCCGAAACCCGGUGAUCUAGCCAUGGGCAGGUUGAAGGUUGGGUAACACUAACUGGAGGACCGAACCGACUAAUGUUGAAAAAUUAGCGGAUGACUUGUGGCUGGGGGUGAAAGGCCAAUCAAACCGGGAGAUAGCUGGUUCUCCCCGAAAGCUAUUUAGGUAGCGCCUCGUGAAUUCAUCUCCGGGGGUAGAGCACUGUUUCGGCAAGGGGGUCAUCCCGACUUACCAACCCGAUGCAAACUGCGAAUACCGGAGAAUGUUAUCACGGGAGACACACGGCGGGUGCUAACGUCCGUCGUGAAGAGGGAAACAACCCAGACCGCCAGCUAAGGUCCCAAAGUCAUGGUUAAGUGGGAAACGAUGUGGGAAGGCCCAGACAGCCAGGAUGUUGGCUUAGAAGCAGCCAUCAUUUAAAGAAAGCGUAAUAGCUCACUGGUCGAGUCGGCCUGCGCGGAAGAUGUAACGGGGCUAAACCAUGCACCGAAGCUGCGGCAGCGACACUAUGUGUUGUUGGGUAGGGGAGCGUUCUGUAAGCCUGUGAAGGUGUACUGUGAGGUAUGCUGGAGGUAUCAGAAGUGCGAAUGCUGACAUAAGUAACGAUAAAGCGGGUGAAAAGCCCGCUCGCCGGAAGACCAAGGGUUCCUGUCCAACGUUAAUCGGGGCAGGGUGAGUCGACCCCUAAGGCGAGGCCGAAAGGCGUAGUCGAUGGGAAACAGGUUAAUAUUCCUGUACUUGGUGUUACUGCGAAGGGGGGACGGAGAAGGCUAUGUUGGCCGGGCGACGGUUGUCCCGGUUUAAGCGUGUAGGCUGAUUUUCCAGGCAAAUCCGGAAAAUCAAGGCUGAGGCGUGAUGACGAGGCACUACGGUGCUGAAGCAACAAAUGCCCUGCUUCCAGGAAAAGCCUCUAAGCAUCAGGUAACAUCAAAUCGUACCCCAAACCGACACAGGUGGUCAGGUAGAGAAUACCAAGGCGCUUGAGAGAACUCGGGUGAAGGAACUAGGCAAAAUGGUGCCGUAACUUCGGGAGAAGGCACGCUGAUAUGUAGGUGAAGUCCCUCGCGGAUGGAGCUGAAAUCAGUCGAAGAUACCAGCUGGCUGCAACUGUUUAUUAAAAACACAGCACUGUGCAAACACGAAAGUGGACGUAUACGGUGUGACGCCUGCCCGGUGCCGGAAGGUUAAUUGAUGGGGUUAGCGGUAACGCGAAGCUCUUGAUCGAAGCCCCGGUAAACGGCGGCCGUAACUAUAACGGUCCUAAGGUAGCGAAAUUCCUUGUCGGGUAAGUUCCGACCUGCACGAAUGGCGUAAUGAUGGCCAGGCUGUCUCCACCCGAGACUCAGUGAAAUUGAACUCGCUGUGAAGAUGCAGUGUACCCGCGGCAAGACGGAAAGACCCCGUGAACCUUUACUAUAGCUUGACACUGAACAUUGAGCCUUGAUGUGUAGGAUAGGUGGGAGGCUUUGAAGUGUGGACGCCAGUCUGCAUGGAGCCGGCCUUGAAAUACCACCCUUUAAUGUUUGAUGUUCUAACGUUGGCCCCUGAUCGGGGUUGCGGACAGUGUCUGGUGGGUAGUUUGACUGGGGCGGUCUCCUCCUAAAGAGUAACGGAGGAGCACGAAGGUUGGCUAAUCCUGGUCGGACAUCAGGAGGUUAGUGCAAUGGCAUAAGCCAGCUUGACUGCGAGCGUGACGGCGCGAGCAGGUGCGAAAGCAGGUCAUAGUGAUCCGGUGGUUCUGAAUGGAAGGGCCAUCGCUCAACGGAUAAAAGGUACUCCGGGGAUAACAGGCUGAUACCGCCCAAGAGUUCAUAUCGACGGCGGUGUUUGGCACCUCGAUGUCGGCUCAUCACAUCCUGGGGCUGAAGUAGGUCCCAAGGGUAUGGCUGUUCGCCAUUUAAAGUGGUACGCGAGCUGGGUUUAGAACGUCGUGAGACAGUUCGGUCCCUAUCUGCCGUGGGCGCUGGAGAACUGAGGGGGGCUGCUCCUAGUACGAGAGGACCGGAGUGGACGCAUCACUGGUGUUCGGGUUGUCAUGCCAAUGGCACUGCCCGGUAGCUAAAUGCGGAAGAGAUAAGUGCUGAAAGCAUCUAAGCACGAAACUUGCCCCGAGAUGAGUUCUCCCUGACUCCUUGAGAGUCCUGAAGGAACGUUGAAGACGACGACGUUGAUAGGCCGGGUGUGUAAGCGCAGCGAUGCGUUGAGCUAACCGGUACUAAUGAACCGUGAGGCUUAACCUUACAACGCCGAAG